GUUACAGAAAAUGGAUGCUAUGAGCAGGAAUUCUGGCAGAAAGACUACCCUCUCUUUUCUACCAACUCUCAUUCCAAGCUAUUGGAAUCCGUUGAUUCAAAGGAUUUUGGAACACAUGGACAACUGGCAUAACUGGAAUCUGGCACCUGUUAGGAUCACAGCAGGAAGAACUAGGGCAGGGAGAAGAUUGACAUCAUUCCAAAUGAAUAUGUGAGAUGCCCCAGACCCUUAGAAGACUGAGAGGGAAAUGAAUGAGUCCUCCUGUUCCUGGAGGCCAGAAGAGUUUUGUGAAACUGCAGAGUGAAGAAGCUUGUUCCAGUGCUUUGGCAAGGAACAGGUAACCUGUGCCUCUAGACUGGAUGCCAAAGCUCUUCUGCUUUUCUUCCCAAUGAGAUUCUAACCAUUUAGGAAACUCCAACCUGUAGUUCCGAGAUCAUGACAUAGCAAGAAACAAAAACAACCUAUCUUCUGUUUCCCAGCAGCUAGAGAGAAGAUGAUCAGGCAGAAUAAUCAGGACACAUUUACAGCAAGUUAGCACAGCUGGUCGGGACAGAUGAAAAUACGAAAGAAUAAAAUUAAUAUUCAGAG
rnacentral:lncRNA from 1 species